rnacentral:rRNA from 1 species
CUGCGCCACAAGUGGGAGUCACGAUUAUUGGGCCUAAAGCGUCCGUAGCCGGUUUUGCAAAUCUUUUGUGAAAUUGCUGAGCUUAACUCAGCAGCGUGCAGAAGACACUACAAGACUUGGAACCAGGAGGAGUCAGAAGGAUGCUGGGGGGAGCGGUAAAAUGCUAUAAUCCCCGGUAGACUACCUGUGGCGAAGGCGUCUGACUAGAAUGGAUUCGACGGUGAGGGACGAAAGCUAGGGGAGCGAUCCGGAUUAGAGACCCGAGUAGUCC